CGUUCCAGAACAUACAUAUUAUUCCUUCAGCAUGUUAAUUAGCAUUCAUCCUAACAGCAUAGCAAUUAUUAGUGUGUAUACAUACACAAAGCAGCAGUAUUUUAUUUAAUGCAUGUGGCCAGCCCAAGGUCUCACAAUUUUAAGUUUUGCAUUCCAUGAUUCUACUCUUGAACAGACCUAUAUCGUUUCAUUGCAUCUCCAUAAGGCCCACAAUUAAAUUAGGCCUCCCAGCUGAGAGUCUGAAAGCGGCAUUAGCCACAUAACUCCCGUUAAUUUCAGUAGAAGUUGUGUAGCUAAAUCUGCUGGAUAGUUUUGAAAAUCUCCGUCUCCAAGAACAGCUUCUUGUGAUCAGUUGGGGUUGAAAGAACUUCAAAGUGAAGUUAAAAGUUUUGGCAUCAGAAAUUUCAAGACAAAGAUUGCUAUGAGUAAGAGACAUCUACAACAUAGCUUAUCAGUGCAAUACUGUUUUCAGCUUUAUAGGGAUUGGCUUCAUAUUUCCUAACAAAGUUUCAUUAAUAUGUUUAUAAGUAGUAAUGCACUGAGCAUCUCUAUAAGGAAAGUCUGUUUACACAGUACAAGACGACAGUUCUGACCAUGUCAGAGCACUAAGCUUCUUUGGGAACAGAUGAGUCUGGCCACUUGGACACAGAACUUUGACCUCUGGACUUUUAACUGUGAAAUCUAGUUCAUCUAAUUCUGCACUGACUUAACUCAAUGGGCUUGUUCAGAGUACAGAGUAACACAGAUUUUGACCCUGUCAGUCAAACCAUGGUUAGAGGAGGUCAGAAUGUUUGUAGUCUCCACAAGCAAUGACUGCCAUUAAAUUGGUGCAGGACACUCAAGAGAGUAACCCGUAUAGGAAGAUACUUAGUGGAGAUCUGCAUCAAUUUAGCUCACUUGGUAAUCAGUAAAAAGUCACUGCUCAGAUACUUCUCCCACUGAAGAAACAUCUGUCUUUCAACAAGGCAAACUUGGUCUCCAAAAGAUUAAGUCAGCAAAAAGUCCCUUAUGAGUACAGAAUCUGGUGGACAGGCCAACUCUGAAUCUCUAAGCAACAGUCAGCAUCCUAGCUGCUGUCUGCUAUACCAGCCCAGCAUGAUCCUGCGCAACAAUAUUUAGCUAUGACUGCAAGUCAAUUUCACACUGCAGCCAGUGCCACAAACACAGUUAUUACUAUGCGGGAACACUGGCAAGCUUCAUGCUGAGAGUAAAUUUUCCUUUUCAGCUCCUGGCACCUUUAUGUGAGGGGCAGCAGAGAUACUGUAAACAACAUGAACCAUCACUGAAGAAACAAACAACUAGCAAAAGAACCCAAUCUUCACCCUAGUUUUGAAGCCUCCUCAUCCAUCUGAAAGGGGAUGAUCGAGGGGAUUCCCUUUUCCAGACCAAAACAAAAUUAAAGCAUGACAAAUCUGGAGGAGUGGAA